UUGAACUACUGUACAAUUACGCACCAUGAGAGAUUGUUAUAACCUACAUGCAAAAAUAAUACAAUUACAAAAGUGAUGUAAAUAAACCCAUCUACAUGUGUUUGUUUUGUCUUUAGAUGUCCAAACCUUUGGCUUAUCUCUUCUGCCAAGCUCCACUCAAAGAUGUGUGUGUGUGUGUGUGUGUGUGUGUGUGUGUGUGUGUGUGUGUGUGUGUGUGUGUGUGCCAAGGCUUUUUUGGAGGCAGAAUGGCACGGAGGCAGAAAAGGCAGUAGAGUGUACAACAGGAAUAUCGCUGCACGAGCACGGGUUAACAAUACCCAGCAUCCAGUUGAAUAAAAUACGCGUUGAGAGUCACUGCGAUACGACGAAUGUAAAGCAUGGGGGGAAGUGAAGAAGUGAACUGGGUGGAAUUUUCUCCAUCUGCAGGGGAGGAAAGGAUUCCCCACAAAACCACAAGAGGGUGAUCUUUCAAUACACAAACCCACUGACUUUUCAUCAACUCAGAAAAUGGUCAUUUCAGCAGACUCUCGUCAUGAAACGCAAUAAACCAUUACCAAGUACAGUGAGCUCCACCUGCUGCCGCUGAUAUGCAAGCAAUGGAUCAAAGCCAGGAUUGGCCCGAGAACACAACUUGCCACACUCACACACGAACACACACAGGGGAUGUGUGAGUCAGCCCUGCAUAUCGGCCAGCCUGCACUCAUUCACAAACACACACUGCUCUCUGCCCAUGCCAACAGACUGAGAAAACACUACAUAUUGCUCUUCAGGCCUACAAAAUAUUAUUAGAGAUAUCCUCAUGAGCGUCAAGUGACUUUGUUCAUUAUUCUGGCUGAAAAUUUUGGAAUGACACUUUAUCCUUAAUAUGUCAUUUCUUUUUUUGUUUGUUUGUUUGUUUUUGUUCCAAAUAAAUCAAUAAAUAAACAAAUUAACAGAUUUGUUUUUUCUUCCUAUAAGUACCUUUAUAAGACAAAGGAGUGAUAGUGGAUUGAUGUGUAAUGUGUAUGCAUAUGAAUAAUCUGUUAAAUGAACACAAACAUAUCGCAUCUUUAACCCAUUUACAUACAAAUUAU